AAGUUAAGAUAUGUGGAUGUUUCAAAGCAAACACAGUAGUGUGCAAUGCUAAAGUCAUUCCAUGCAUGUACUUACUUUGUUUGUUCUGAAAUACUCUACCUACCGUC
rnacentral:pre_miRNA from 1 species